UACGAAGGGGGCUAGCGUUGCUCGGAAUGACUGGGCGUAAAGGGCGCGUAGGCGGAUGACACAGUCAGGCGUGAAAUUCCCGGGCUCAACCUGGGGGCUGCGCUUGAUACAUGUUGUCUUGAGUUCGGAAGAGGGUCGUGGAAUUCCCAGUGUAGAGGUGAAAUUCGUAGAUAUUGGGAAGAACACCGGUGGCGAAGGCGGCGACCUGGUCCGAUACUGACGCUGAGGCGCGAAAGCGUGGGGAG
rnacentral:rRNA from 1 species